rnacentral:rRNA from 1 species
GACGAACGCUGGCGGCGUGCUUAACACAUGCAAGUCGAACGGAAAGGCCCUGCUUUUGUGGGGUGCUCGAGUGGCGAACGGGUGAGUAACACGUGAGUAACCUGCCCUUGACUUUGGGAUAACUUCAGGAAACUGGGGCUAAUACCGGAUAGGAGCUCCUGCUGCAUGGUGGGGGUUGGAAAGUUUCGGCGGUUGGGGAUGGACUCGCGGCUUAUCAGCUUGUUGGUGGGGUAGUGGCUUACCAAGGCUUUGACGGGUAGCCGGCCUGAGAGGGUGACCGGCCACAUUGGGACUGAGAGACGGCCCAGACUCAUACGGGAGGCAGCAGUGGGGAAUAUUGCACAAUGGGCGGAGGCCUGAUGCAGCAACGCCGCGUGCGGGAUGACGGCCUUCGGGUUGUAAACCGAUUUCGCCUGUGACGAAGCGUGAGUGACGGUAAUGGGGAAAGAAGCACCGGCUAACUACGG